AUUGAACGCUGGCGGCAGGCCUAACACAUGCAAGUCGAACGAGUGGCGGACGGGUGAGUAAUGUCUGGGGAACUGCCUGAUGGAGGGGGAUAACUACUGGAAACGGUAGCUAAUACCGCAUACCAUCGGAUGUGCCCAGAUGGGCUUAGCUAGUAGGUGGGGUAAAGGCUCACCAAGGCGACGAUCCCUAGCUGGUCUGAGAGGAUGACCAGCCACACUGGAACUGAGACACGGUCCAGACUCCUACGGGAGGCAGCAGUGGGGAAUAUUGCACAAUGGGCGCAAGCCUGAUGCAGCCAUGCCGCGUGUAUGAAGAAGGCCUUCGGGUUGUAAAGUACUUUCAGCGGGGAGGCGUUACCCGCAGAAGAAGCACCGGCUAACUCCGUGCCAGCAGCCGCGGUAAUUC
rnacentral:rRNA from 1 species